rnacentral:rRNA from 1 species
UGGGUAACCUGCCUCAAAGAGGGGAAUAGCCUCCCGAAAGGGAGAUUAAUACCGCAUAAUAUGUUUAAGUCGCAUGACUUUAACAUCAAAGGAUUUUCUUUUAGAAAUUCCACUUUGAGAUGGACCCGCGGUGCAUUAGCUAGUUGGUGAGGUAACGGCUCACCAAGGCAACGAUGCGUAGCCGACCUGAGAGGGUGAUCGGCCACAUUGGAACUGAGACACGGUCCAGCUCCGUAGGGAG